rnacentral:rRNA from 1 species
GACGAACGCUGGCGGCGCGCUUAACACAUGCAAGUCGAGCGAGAACCGGGGCUUCGGCCCCGGGGACAGCGGCGAACGGGUGAGUAACACGUGAGUAACCUGCCCUCGGCACCGGAAUAGCCCGGGGAAACCCGGAUUAAUGCCGGAUGGCCCCUCUGCCCUGCGGGGCGGCGGGAAAAGGUAGCUUCGGCCUCCGGCCGAGGAUGGGCUCGCGGCGGAUUAGCUUGUUGGCGGGGUAACGGCCCACCAAGGCGACGAUCCGUAGCUGGUCUGAGAGGACGAUCAGCCACACUGGGACUGAGACGCGGCCCAGACUCCUACGGGAGGCAGCAGUGGGGAAUCUUGCGCAAUGGGCGAAAGCCUGACGCAGCGACGCCGCGUGCGGGAAGAAGGCCCUCGGGUUGUAAACCACUUUCAGGAGGGACGAAGCCACUCGGGUGAACAGCCCAGAGGGUGACGGUACCUCCAGAAGAAGCCCCGGCUAACUACGUGCCAGCAGCCGCAGUAACAC